GAUGUUUGCCAGGUUGUAUAUUUUUUGUAGCCUUUGACUUGCAUAAGGAAAAGAAAAUAUAUGCUGAAACUACACGCUAGACGAUGAACUCAUUGUUGAAGAACAUAUUAGUUAUGUUUAUAUAGAAAAAGAACACUGUAAAGUCACCUUGCACUGGACAGAGUAAUGUAAUAAGUGCAGAGCUCGGCACAACUAAUCUACAUUACCAUUUGCAGUUUAAAUGGUAAUAAAUGUGAUAUUUUACAUGCAUCCAGCUUUACAGUCUUACAUUUUGAGGAGCAAUGCAGUACAAAACUUAAAUGUGCCCUGCUAACCUACUGCCCUUUCAUUAUAUUACUCUAUCUAAUAGCAU